rnacentral:misc_RNA from 1 species
GAUGAAGAACGCAGCGAAAUGCGAUACGUAGUGUGAAUUGCAGAAUUCAGUGAAUCAUCGAAUCUUUGAACGCACAUUGCGCCCCUUGGUAUUCCAUGGGGCAUGCCUGUUCGAGCGUCAUUUGUACCUUCAAGCUUUGCUUGGUGUUGGGUGUUUGUCUCGCCUUUGCGUGUAGACUCGCCUUAAAAUAAUUGGCAGCCGGCGUAUUGAUUUCGGAGCGCAGUACAUCUCGCGCUUUGCACUCAUAACGACAGCGUCCAAAAGUACAUUUUACACUCUUGACCUCGGAUCAGGUAGGGAUACCCGCUGAACUUAAGCAUAUCAAUAAGCGGAGGA